AUUGAACGCUGGCGGCAGGCCUAACACAUGCAAGUCGAGCGGAUGAAGGGAGCUUGCUCCUGGAUUCAGCGGCGGACGGGUGAGUAAUGCCUAGGAAUCUGCCUGGUUGUGGGGGAUAACGUCCGGAAACGGGCGCUAAUACCGCAUACGUCCUGCGGGAGCAAGUGGGGGAUCUUCGGACCUCGCGGUAUCAGAUGAAGCUACGGCUGAUUAGCUAGUUGGGGGGGUAAAGGCGUACCAAGGCGACGAUGGGUAGCUGGCCUGAGAGGGUGAUCGGCCACAUGGGGACUGAGAUACGGCCCAGAGUCCUAAGGGAGGAAGCAGUGGGGAAUAUUGCACAAUGGGCGGAAGGGUGAUGCAGCAACGCCGCGUGCGGGAUGACGGCCUUCGGGUUGUAAACAGCUUUCGCCUGUGACGAAGCGUGAGUGACGGUAAUGGGUAAAGAAGCACCGGCUAACUACGUG
rnacentral:rRNA from 1 species